GCAUGGCUGCUGUUCUUUUGCUUCAUUCUAGGACUGUUGAUCUUAUAGAUCAAUUAUCCACACAAUCAUUUUACAUGUUCAUAUGGAAGUUAGUUUAUGCUGAGUACCUCCUCCUUCCAUUUGUACGCUGAGAAGAAUAUCUAGUGAAGAACAAGGUAAAGGGGCUGAUUGUGUAUGUCCUAUAGUCUUUAUAUUGCCCUCCUUUCAUUUUUUUUUUUUUUUUUUUUUUUUUUUUUUUUUUUUACACUAAGAAGAAUAACUAGUAAGAGUUUUAAUUGGUAAUGUAUGCUGGAUUUUAUUAUAAAUCCGUAUAUAGUAUUGUAUGUAUAACAUUUGUUACA